rnacentral:tRNA from 1 species
GCGGCCGUAAUUCAGUGGUAGAAUGUCAGCUUCCCAAGCUGAACGUCGUGAGUUCGAAUCUCAUCGGCCGCU